rnacentral:lncRNA from 1 species
GUAGAAUUUAAUCUUUUCAUAAGAUUAUAGAAAGAUAACAAACUAAAGAAAUUGCUUUAAUUUUUAACCCACGUUAUACCCCUAGAUUGCUCAAAAAGCAAAAAAGAUAGACAUAAGUUGCACCAUAAUUAUCAUUUAACUAACACAUGUGUUUUGGCAAAUCCCUAAUUAAGAUGACCUAAUAACUCCAAAAUAUACUUUUCUUUUUCUUUUUUUUUUCAAAAAAAUUAGGCGAUUUAGAAUUUUAUAAAUAUAAAUAUAAAUAUAAAUAAAAUGAUAUAACAGAUUUGUUAAAUAAAGAAUCAAAAAUAAGUAUAUAACGUACUAAAAGAACCGUAUAAACACUUAUACAAAUGAAUUAUACGAUCCUAGAGGGUUAAAUAAAUAAAUCUGGUUUUGUAUUUAACGCAUGUUAAAAGUAAAAAACAGUAAUAAAAGAAAGGAGUAAAUUUCUGUUUUCGUCCCUGAUGUUUGUCCAUUUUAACUAUAUGUAGAAGCUUUCCAGAAACAGAAAUAGAAGCAUCAAGCUCUUCAUUUUCAUAAAGCAAUUUAGGAUCAGAAACCAUAGGCAAGUUUCUCUUCUUAUAAGCUGCAACACACACUUGAAUCAACCGGGUAAACGGGCUACCCGCGGGAUCCAUAUUCCGAUACAACGGGUACCCGAUAACAAACCCAAUGAUUGAAACAGCCAUGGCUAUAGAUGGUACACCAAGACCCCAACCCCACCCAACAUUAUCUUGAAUGUAAACAAUAACUGUCACAGCCACAAGCAUAGAGGCCCCCAUGCAAAAAUAAUACCAAUUGAAGAAUUUCCAUGUGC